GUGAGUUCCUAAUACGUGCCAGGUGCUUUACUAGGUGCUGAGGAUGUAACAUGAACAAAAAUAAUAAAGUCUCUGUUUUUAGGGAAUUUACAUUUUAUUUGUAGAGACAGACAAUAAACAAAUACAAACAUAAAUACAUGUCAGAUGGUGAUAAGUACUAUAGAGAAAAAUAAGGUAGUGUGGUCAUGGCCAGGAAGGCCCCUAAGAGGGCAGAAUGGAAAAGUCUAAGAGCAGAGGCAUAGAUAAGGAGCAAUGCUCAUAGCCACAGGGAUACCUGGGCAUAAGCCUUCUUGACCAAUGACCAUAUUGCUCACUGGGCAGCAAUAUGAUAGGGUUAAAGGAAGGGAAGCAGUGCCCACGGUUCUGUGCUUCUCUGCCCUAGUGGACAUCUCAUUCCACAUGGGCUAUGGAAAUGACCACCUUCUGGAAAAGCCUCUGUGAGAAAAGAAGGGAAGCCAAGGGAAAGCUUGUCUCCAAUUACUCUCUCAUUUAUUCUUUGCAUUGUUUAUUGGCUGUUUGAGGAAUCUUGAGCCAAGUCCUAGUCAUUAUUUUUGCCCAUCCUCGAACUUGAAACAGUCUUCAUGGUCUGGCCUGCAUUGUGCUAAUCUGUAUUGUUAAGAAUACACUACAGACAGACAUUGCCAGCAUUGAGGGUGGAGGUGAGACUCACUUUAGAAAAGGUGAUCAGGCAAUACCUAAUGAAGUGACAUUCCAGCAGACUUAACUGAAGGAAGGCAGUGAGCCUUGGGAUACAUGUGAGGGAAGGAGGGUGUGGAAUUCCUGGCCCAGAAACAGCAAGUGCAAAGGCUCUGAAGCAGGAUUGCCCUUGGUACGUUCAAAGGAAAGUGAGGCAGCUGUGUGGCUGUAGAGGAGUGAGAAAGGGGGAGAGUUACAGGAGGUGAUGUAAGAAGAGCUUUGGAGGCCUAGAUUACCUACAGGUAGGGCAUUGUUCGACUUUUAUUCUGAAUAAAAUGUUGGGAUUUGAGCAGGGGAGUGACAUGAUGUGGCUUAGAUUUAGAAAAGAUCGCUCUAGCUACUCUGUUUAGAAGAGGCUCUAGGGGUCAAGUAUGGAAGCAGGAAGAUCAGUUGUGAGGCCAUUGCACCAAUCCAAGCAAGAGAUGAUAGCAGCUUUGACUACUAUGUUAGCAGUAGAGACAGUGAGAAGCGGCUGAAUUCUGGAUAAUCCGUAUCUUGAAGGUAGAGCACACCAGAUUGGCUGAUGGAUUUGAUGUGAGGUUUAUGAAAAAGAGAGGAAUCUAGAAUGACUUCCUAUUUUUAGCCUGUGCAACUGGAAAAAAAAAGGAGCUGAGAUGAGGAAACCAUGGGAGGAAAAUCAAGUUUGCCUUUGAACAUGUUGUAUCUGAUAAUGCCUAUUGGACAAGCAAAAUGGGAAUUUGGAAAAGACAGCAACGUAUGCCUUAAGGGGAAUUUAUAUGAGAAGGUACCCAAGUUAUACUAGUUUACUUGAAGGGAUACAUUACAUAUUUGGUUAGACCUUCCAUUCUAAAACAAUGAGAAACUGAAAUUUAUAAAUGGUUCUUGGUGUUUGUUAUGACUGUAAACCUAAUAAUACUUGGACUCCUGCAUUGUCAUGUAUUUAUUAUGUAUAUUUUACCAAUCUACCCUCAAAAAGAUAUGUUUACAAUAAAGAUGAUUUUGCAAUGAAAUCAUUAAACAAACACUUUUUAAAACAUGAGCUAUCUACAAAGACUUGUACAUGCAUGUUCAUAGCAACUUUAUUCAUACUUCCCAACUUGGAAACAAUGAAAAUACCUACACAGAAAAAAAUGAUAAAUU
rnacentral:lncRNA from 1 species